rnacentral:lncRNA from 1 species
UGUUGUCAACGGGUCAGAAAUUGUUUCUCCAAUUCUCUAUUGCUUGACAUAGCUUUGGUUUUGUAAUCUUUUCUAUGUUUUCGUACUUAUGAUUCUUUUUGUUAAUCUAUGACCAUACAUAACUGCAUAAGGCAGGUUUUGGAUCCAAUUAGACUAGUUAAACCUCGUCGAAUGUUUUGUGCGCCUGAACCGAGUCCAUAAAAUGAUGGUAAUUUGUACGUCCUUGACACGGUAGA